rnacentral:misc_RNA from 1 species
AGGCAUAAUAACAUUGCAUGCAAUGUAAACUCAAGAAACUUACCAUCAUCAUCCGUGCCAGCAGCAGUCCCAUCCAAGCCUUCAUCAUCACCCCCAAGAUUCAGCUUCUGGAAUAAAAAGUUGCAAUCAAAUGGUGUCUAUCGCAAAGGUUUGGCGGUCACUGGACAGUUUUCUCCGAGGUGGAAAGUGAGGAGUCGCUACUUCAAUUUGGAGGAAAAAUUAAAGAAAACCAUUUUUAUUUUAGGAGAAUUCGAAAAUAGUGUUCUCCACUGCUAUUUUUAGAUAUU